AUUCCUUCAUUCGCAACAUCAGGGUAGGCGACAUCUAAUGUAUAUAGCUAUGUGCGCUAACUAGUAUUCCCGUCGUAUCAUGCUCAACUCUUAAUACUCUAUUUCGCACUUUGAAAAUCUUUGCGUGUUUUCAGAGAGAUAUUUAAGCACAUAUGAAGUAACAGUGGCGUCUCUACCAUUGAGUUACACAAUGCAGCUUUUAGCUCGCUCGUAAACAUCACUGCUGUCCUCAGAUCAUUGUCUGAGCAGAAGUUUCAUCAUUAACCCUGACUGUCAGAUGCUCUUCAUCUCAGGAGCUGUAUUUUUAGAUGCUUUAUAACAGAUAGGCUAUAAGCGAGAAGAGGCUGAAUCCAAAGCCCGAGAAGAAGCAGAGAAACAGAGGAUCGAACCAGAGAAACACUUCCAGAAGGAGGAGCUGGAACGCUUGGAAAGAAAGAAGCGUCUGGAAGAAAUCGUGAAGAGGACUCGUAAGAGUGACGCAGGAGCACAGAAAGAUGUUAAAACUCCAACUCAAAUGAAUGGCAGAGUCACUGACAGCGAAAAAUCAGUCAGAAGCUCUUCAUAGUAGUGCGACAAACCAAUCACCAAUGA
rnacentral:lncRNA from 1 species